CUUCACUACAUUUUUUUAAUUUUAUCAAUCAAUAGACGCCAACGACGCCAUUUUAAAAGUGGAUUAGCAUGUUUGCACAUUAGCCUCAUUAACGUGCAGGUGCAUCUAUCGUUCACCUGGUCAUUUCUAACAACUCGUGGUGUAAUUCAGCCAAUCAGAGCCCGGCUCAUUCAUUCAAGUCUGUUUUUAAAAAUACAUUUUGUCACUGUGAAUGCAGGCGUAAACCCACCGCGCACUCUUUAUUAAAAACCUUUGACAUAAUUACCUGUGAGCUUUGAAGGGACGCCGGGGUAGGGUAGAAGUGCCGGAGCAGGGGAGUCUGGGUAAUACAUUGUUAACAGUUAUUUAGCGCGUGCUAAUGGGCACGUGGACCACUGCCAGGGCUUUUAUGGCGGAAGUGGCAUGAGCAGCGGGGAAGGGUGCUUUACAGCUGACCUGGGGAUGGAGACAGAAAUAGUGAUAUAUUCAGAGAGAAAUGCAGCAUCCAGCCAUCUGCCUCCCUCCAGAUUCAGAGGACCCGCGCCACCCUUGCAGCCCGUCCUGGGGGGCCGAAUCCCAGACAAUAACUGCCGGAUUCCCAGUAUGGCUCCACUGGGAAAGUCAUAACUUGAACUCCAUGCCUAUCUGCAAUUGUGCCAACACUGCAAAGCAAACGGCCGGGGCCCCAGCGAGCAUAUCCUGCUUAUGCUGGCCCAGAGUCACUCGUCAUCCAAACAGAGUGGAGGGGGUCAGGAUGGGGAGAGAACAAGCGAGCAGGUGCUGUUUUUAUGGCUUUCUCCAUCUAGCGAAGAAGAGGUGAAAACAUUUUCUCCUCUCAUAACCCGUGAAACCACAUGAAGAUUCGAUCUGAAUGGUGUGUGUUUGUGUGUGUGUGCAUGAGGUCAUUAGAAGGAAGGAUUGUGUAUGCAGAGGUUUUGAUUACCCCCUAUUGUUCACUGCCUGGGAAUUCUUGAAUUCAUAGGUGUGUGUGUGUGUGUGUGUGUGUGUGUGUGUGUAAUCACCUCUAUAGUUUCCUGUGAUUAGGCUGCAUAAUGAGCUGCUAAAAGGCACACAGAUUAGAACCAUGGUUAAUUAAGCUCAAAGUACUCCAAACUUUUUCUUUGGAUGUUCAUCUCUCUUUUGCCCAUGCAAACACACACGCACACACACACACACACACACACACACACACACACACACACACACACACACACACACACACUAACGAGUGCUAAGCUCAUCACGGAAACGGCGCAAUUUGAAAAUAACAACAAUCAUAAAAACCCAUACAAACAUCUGCAGCUCGUAACUGACGUCUCAGGCCAACCCCAGCACACGUGCCUCUUAAAACUGGAGAACAACGGUUAUUUUCAUCUCUUAGAAGUUGGAGUUUUAUUUCUUUUCUCUUUCUCUGGCUCAACUGGAACCGUUUAGGCGUUGUUUAAUCAAAGAACGAAGUCGUUAAAAUUGAAAAUUGGCGGUGAAGGCGUCCGGUAAGCCUGCCUCUCCUCCCUGCCUGCAUUCAACGUCCAGCCCAGCGCUAACUAGCAUUUAGCGCAGAUUUAAGGAAUGCUGUUUUAUUACUGUAUUUAAGGAAUGUCUGCGUUAAAGCAUGCACAAAACAUGCAUAUGUAUAUAAGACAUUUUAUUACCUUGUUACAAAAAAAGCAUUUCAGUAUUUUCUGUGUUUU
rnacentral:lncRNA from 15 species